AACUUUGAGCGGGGGGAUCACUCGGCUCGG
rnacentral:rRNA from 1 species